rnacentral:lncRNA from 10 species
AUGCCUCUCGACAGGGAUCUCCUUCAUCCUUCUCCAGAAGAGAAGAGGAAACAGAAGAAGAAACGCCUGGUGCAGAGUCCCGAUUCCUACUUCAUGGAUAUGACAUGCCCAGGAUGCUAUAAAAUCACCAUGGUCUGUAGCCAUGCACAAACGGUAGUUUUGUGUGUUGCCUGCUCCACUGUUCUCUGCCAGCCUACAGGAGGAAAAGGAAGGCUACAGAAGGAUGUUCCUUCAGGAGGAAGCAGCAC